rnacentral:rRNA from 1 species
ACUCAAAGGAAUUGACGGGGGCACGCACAAGCGGUGGAGCAUGUGGUUUAAUUCGAUGCAACGCGAAGAACCUUACCUACUCUUGACAUCCUGCGAAGCUAACUGAGAGGUUGGUGUGCCGAAAGGAGCGCAGAGACAGGUGCUGCAUGGCUGUCGUCAGCUCGUGUUGUGAGAUGUUGGGUUAAGUCCCGUAACGAGCGCAACCCUUGUUCUUAGUUGCCAGCACGUAAAGGUGGGAACUCUAAGAAGACUGCCGGUGAAGAACCGGAGGAAGGCGGGGACGACGUCAAGUCAUCAUGGCCUUUAUGAGUAGGGCUACACACGUGCUACAAUGGGGCGUACAGAGGGUAGCGAACACGCGAGUGGGAGCCAAUCUCAAAAAGCGUCUCGUAGUCCGGAUUGAAGUCUGCAACUCGACUUCAUGAAGUUGGAAUCGCUAGUAAUCGCGGAUCAGCAUUGCCGCGGUGAAUACGUUCACGUGCCUUGUACACACCGCCCGU